rnacentral:rRNA from 1 species
UGGGGAAUCUUGCACAAUGGGGGCAACCCUGAUGCAGCGACGCCGCGUGAGCGAUGAAGGUUUUCGAAUCGUAAAGCUCUGUCCUAUGGGAAGAUAAUGACGGUACCAUAGGAGGAAGCCCCGGCUAACUACGUGCCAGCAGCCGCGGUAAUACGUAGGGGGCGAGCGUUGUCCGGAAUUACUGGGCGUAAAGGGUUCGCAGGCGGCAUGGCGAGUCCGAUGUAAAAGGCGAAGGCUCAACCUUCGUAAGCAUCGGAAACUGUCAAGCUUGAGUGAAGGAGAGGCAAGUGGAAUUCCUAGUGUAGCGGUGGAAUGCGUAGAUAUUAGGAGGAAUACCGGUGGCGAAGGCGACUUGCUGGACUUCAACUGACGCUGAGGAACGAAAGCGUGGGUAGCAAACAGG